UACGUAGGGGGCAAGCGUUGUCCGGAUUUAUUGGGCGUAAAGAGCGUGUAGGCGGUUCGGUAGGUCCGUUGUGAAAACUCGAGGCUCAACCUCGAGACGCCGAUGGAAACCCCCGAACUAGAGUCCGGAAGAGGAGAGUGGAAUUCCUGGUGUAGCGGUGAAAUGCGCAGAUAUCAGGAGGAACACCAAUAGCGAAGGCAGCUCGCUGGGACGGUACUGACGCUAAGGCGCGAAAGCGUUGGGAGCGAACAGG
rnacentral:rRNA from 1 species